rnacentral:misc_RNA from 1 species
UUAAUAACAACGACCAGAUGAUUCAGUUCCUUAUCAUACCAAAGAAUGACUACUCGCUGAUGUUGAGUAUAGUGUUAAUCGUAGACUUAGCAAUUAUAACGUAUCUACGAACACGACAUAACAUAUAAAAGGAAAUCAUCGUUCAAAAAUUUUAUGAUAAAAAGAAUCGGGUGAACAGCGGAGGAGCGACCAACCAGUGUACGAGUUCGCAGAACGAUGAUCGAGGCAAGUAUACGGAGUGCUCCGUUUACCAAGCUGCCAACUCAGUCGCUUUAGUGUGCAAGAGGGUAAAGGAUGCGACGUUGCCAGGCCAACAACACGUAAACGACCGGUACAGACGUGGCAACGGCGCGAAACGAGAGACACGCUCCGAGACACGAAGGAGAAGGCAACGUAG